UUAAGUUAUUAAGGGCGCACGGUGGAUGCCUUGGCACUAGAAGCCGAUGAAGGACGUUACUAACGACGAUAUGCUUUGGGGAGCUGUAAGUAAGCUUUGAUCCAGAGAUUUCCGAAUGGGGAAACCCAGCAUGAGUUAUGUCAUGUUAUCGAUAUGUGAAUACAUAGCAUAUCAGAAGGCACACCCGGAGAACUGAAACAUCUUAGUACCCGGAGGAAGAGAAAGAAAAUUCGAUUCCCUUAGUAGCGGCGAGCGAAAUGGGAAGAGCCCAAACCAACAAGCUUGCUUGUUGGGGUUGUAGGACACUCUAUACGGAGUUACAAAGGACGACAUUAGACGAAUCAUCUGGAAAGAUGAAUCAAAGAAGGUAAUAAUCCUGUAGUCGAAAAUGUUGUCUCUCUUGAGUGGAUCCUGAGUACGACGGAGCACGUGAAAUUCCGUCGGAAUCUGGGAGGACCAUCUCCUAAGGCUAAAUACUCUCUAGUGACCGAUAGUGAACCAGUACCGUGAGGGAAAGGUGAAAAGCACCCCGGAAGGGGAGUGAAAUAGAACCUGAAACCGUGUGCUUACAAGUAGUCAGAGCCCGUUAAUGGGUGAUGGCGUGCCUUUUGUAGAAUGAACCGGCGAGUUACGAUUUGAUGCAAGGUUAAGCAGUAAAUGUGGAGCCGUAGCGAAAGCGAGUCUGAAUAGGGCGUUUAGUAUUUGGUCGUAGACCCGAAACCAGGUGAUCUACCCUUGGUCAGGUUGAAGUUCAGGUAACACUGAAUGGAGGACCGAACCGACUUACGUUGAAAAGUGAGCGGAUGAACUGAGGGUAGCGGAGAAAUUCCAAUCGAACCUGGAGAUAGCUGGUUCUCUCCGAAAUAGCUUUAGGGCUAGCCUCAAGUGAUGAUUAUUGGAGGUAGAGCACUGUUUGGACGAGGGGCCCCUCUCGGGUUACCGAAUUCAGACAAACUCCGAAUGCCAAUUAAUUUAACUUGGGAGUCAGAACAUGGGUGAUAAGGUCCGUGUUCGAAAGGGAAACAGCCCAGACCACCAGCUAAGGUCCCAAAAUAUAUGUUAAGUGAAAAAGGAUGUGGCGUUGCCCAGACAACUAGGAUGUUGGCUUAGAAGCAGCCAUCAUUUAAAGAGUGCGUAAUAGCUCACUAGUCGAGUGACACUGCGCCGAAAAUGUACCGGGGCUAAACAUAUUACCGAAGCUGUGGAUUGUCCUUUGGACAAUGGUAGGAGAGCGUUCUAAGGGCGUUGAAGCAUGAUCGUAAGGACAUGUGGAGCGCUUAGAAGUGAGAAUGCCGGUGUGAGUAGCGAAAGACGGGUGAGAAUCCCGUCCACCGAUUGACUAAGGUUUCCAGAGGAAGGCUCGUCCGCUCUGGGUUAGUCGGGUCCUAAGCUGAGGCCGACAGGCGUAGGCGAUGGAUAACAGGUUGAUAUUCCUGUACCACCUAUAAUCGUUUUAAUCGAUGGGGGGACGCAGUAGGAUAGGCGAAGCGUGCGAUUGGAUUGCACGUCUAAGCAGUAAGGCUGAGUAUUAGGCAAAUCCGGUACUCGUUAAGGCUGAGCUGUGAUGGGGAGAAGACAUUGUGUCUUCGAGUCGUUGAUUUCACACUGCCGAGAAAAGCCUCUAGAUAGAAAAUAGGUGCCCGUACCGCAAACCGACACAGGUAGUCAAGAUGAGAAUUCUAAGGUGAGCGAGCGAACUCUCGUUAAGGAACUCGGCAAAAUGACCCCGUAACUUCGGGAGAAGGGGUGCUCUUUAGGGUUAACGCCCAGAAGAGCCGCAGUGAAUAGGCCCAAGCGACUGUUUAUCAAAAACACAGGUCUCUGCUAAACCGUAAGGUGAUGUAUAGGGGCUGACGCCUGCCCGGUGCUGGAAGGUUAAGAGGAGUGGUUAGCUUCUGCGAAGCUACGAAUCGAAGCCCCAGUAAACGGCGGCCGUAACUAUAACGGUCCUAAGGUAGCGAAAUUCCUUGUCGGGUAAGUUCCGACCCGCACGAAAGGCGUAACGAUUUGGGCACUGUCUCAACGAGAGACUCGGUGAAAUCAUAGUACCUGUGAAGAUGCAGGUUACCCGCGACAGGACGGAAAGACCCCGUGGAGCUUUACUGUAGCCUGAUAUUGAAAUUCGGCACAGCUUGUACAGGAUAGGUAGGAGCCUUUGAAACGUGAGCGCUAGCUUACGUGGAGGCGCUGGUGGGAUACUACCCUAGCUGUGUUGGCUUUCUAACCCGCACCACUUAUCGUGGUGGGAGACAGUGUCAGGCGGGCAGUUUGACUGGGGCGGUCGCCUCCUAAAAGGUAACGGAGGCGCUCAAAGGUUCCCUCAGAAUGGUUGGAAAUCAUUCAUAGAGUGUAAAGGCAUAAGGGAGCUUGACUGCGAGACCUACAAGUCGAGCAGGGUCGAAAGACGGACUUAGUGAUCCGGUGGUUCCGCAUGGAAGGGCCAUCGCUCAACGGAUAAAAGCUACCCCGGGGAUAACAGGCUUAUCUCCCCCAAGAGUUCACAUCGACGGGGAGGUUUGGCACCUCGAUGUCGGCUCAUCGCAUCCUGGGGCUGUAGUCGGUCCCAAGGGUUGGGCUGUUCGCCCAUUAAAGCGGUACGCGAGCUGGGUUCAGAACGUCGUGAGACAGUUCGGUCCCUAUCCGUCGUGGGCGUAGGAAAUUUGAGAGGAGCUGUCCUUAGUACGAGAGGACCGGGAUGGACAUACCUCUGGUGUACCAGUUGUCGUGCCAACGGCAUAGCUGGGUAGCUAUGUGUGGACGGGAUAAGUGCUGAAAGCAUCUAAGCAUGAAGCCCCCCUCAAGAUGAGAUUUCCCAACUUCGGUUAUAAGAUCCCUCAAAGAUGAUGAGGUUAAUAGGUUCGAGGUGGAAGCAUGGUGACAUGUGGAGCUGACGAAUACUAAUCGAUCGAAGACUUAAUCAA
rnacentral:rRNA from 1 species